GGGCUUGAUAUCACGCUUUAGUAUCGCGCUUGACGUUUCGCGUUGUGUUUCGCGUUACACUUUGGCGCACGGUCACACACAGACACGCGCAAACUACUACCGACAAUGUAACGGACGGUGUCAAGUAUUCCGACGCGGCUGCAUCGUUAGCACGUGUGCAGCAGGUGACUACGCAUCGCAGCAAUCCUAAGCUUACAGCAUCAGCAACUCACUGUGCGCGUGUGUGUGUGAGUGUUGAGCCGCAGCGCGCCCAAAAGGCUUAGGCUGUCCGUCAGUUUGGCACCGUAAUCGCGGCGAGCCGGUCACGAACCGGCGGUGUUCGAUCGUGGCGAGCCAAAGCCGUGUGUGGCCGUGAUUUGUGUGCCGUGAUUUGUGUGCCGUGUUUGAUUAGGUGAACUCAUCAGUCGGAAGCAUAUCUUUGUGCGUAUAAUCGCAUCCAGGGAGGGUGUGUGCGUACGGUAGCCAUCCCCCGGACCGAGCUCGGUUUCCGGUGCCUCUCGAUUGACCAUCUGUGCAGCCUCUGUGUCCCUUGGUACUUUCAUAAGGGACAACCAAAAGACCUCAAGCGUGCCUGCGUGUGUGUAUGUGUGAAGUGUGUGAAGUGUGAAAAAGUGUCCCCAAAGAACGAGAAGCAACGAGAAGCAACGACGACGACGACGCUUCGUCCAAUUCUGCCAACCGAAACGGAAUGGGAAAGGUGCAAGCGCACGGCUACGAUGAUUACGACCGGAUACGAUACUUUUACUACAUCCGGCCGCCCCACACGCCGGUGCCGGCGGACUGGUGGGUCGAUCCGAUGGCCACCACCACCGAAUCCGUCACCACGCUCAGUGCCAGCGAGGAGACGACGCUGCUCCUGUACGACAUCUUCAUACCGCUGCUCGGCUCGCUCAUCAUCAUACUCAACCUGAUCGUGGUCGUGUCCGGUGUGCUGCUGCUGCGCAAAGGUCAGCAACCGUACACCACCUACAUGUUUCUGGGCAACGUGGCCGUGUCGGAUUUAUUGACGGGCUUUGCCGUCAUCUUCGGCCAGUAUGCGCCCCGCGAGCGACGGGCCGAGGAAAACUGCACGCUAAUGAUCGGGCUCAUAGUGUCCACCUCGCUGGUUUCGGUGUACAGCGUGGGGCUGAUAGCGAUCGAUCGAUACCUUUACAUCGUGUACGGGCUGCAGUACCAGCGCUACCUGACCCGCACCCGGGCGCGCAUUCUAAUUGCCGCCACCUGGAUCCUCGGCGCAACCAUCGGCUUUCUGCCCGCGCUCGGCUGGCGGGGCGACACGGACGGUGGCCGCACCUGCUGGUUCAUCCGGCUCGCGCCGCCGGGCCUGGUGAUCCUGACGGCCGUCGUCGGCAUUCUGCCCGUGCUGCUCGUCAUCAUCCUGUACGGCAUCAUCCUGCAGAAGGCGCUGCGCCGCGUCAACCAGCUGAAGAAGGCAUCGCGCGAGCUGCGCGGCGUACAGACGGGCAACCUCCGGUUAUUCCGCGGCGGCACGGGUGGCAGCGCGAACGGUGGUGCCGCUGCCACGAUUGCACCACCCGUGCCGAUCGCCGUCCCGCCAACCGAGCCGAAUCGAUCAGGCGCCAACCGCCAGUCCGACACGGAGCACGGUUUGAGCGAGGACGAGCUAGCGGGCGCUGCCACCGGCCGCUGUCUCUGCCUACGCUCACGCUGCUGCACUGCCGGCGGCGCCCGGGCCAAGCAGUCCCAGAAGGCACUGAACGGGCCCGGCACCGCUGCCACGGCUGGCACCGCGAUGACGACGACAGCCGCGGCGACGACCGGCCCAACCGCACCCAGCAAAAGCCCGACCAAGUGGAAGGCGAUAAAAGUCGUGAUGUUCACGACGGGCAGCUUCGUCGUGACGUGGGUGCCGUACUUCAUCGCGAGCCUGCUGUACGUCGGGUGCGACCCGGCCACGAACGAGGAGCUGUGCCGCAGCCUGCAGUUCGCCAUCGCCAGCCCGCUCGCCAUCCUCGGGUUCGCCAACAGUCUGCUCAAUCCGAUCAUUUACGCCUGGUGGCACAAUGGGUUCCGCGCCUCGAUGAAGCGGCUCGCCGGCAAGGUCAGCCAGCGGAUCUGCUGCUGCUGCUGCUGCUGCGGCGGCACCGGAGACGGUGGUGCGGGCCGGUGUACCGCGGUACGCUGCUGCCAUAAAUCAUCGCGCUCGGCGCCACCGUCGGCCUCGGUGGCGAAUCGGAUCAGUGCCAAUGGGGUUAGCAGCACGGGCAGCACCAGCGAUGGCAUCGGACCCGACCGCCUGUCAAACCGCACCGUCACAACGACGGUCGGCCAGCGGGCGCACCCGGUCCCGUACCCCCACAGCGACCAGGAAUUUUCCGUCACCGAUGACACCGAUGUCGAGCAGCCGAGUAUGGUAAUCGGAACGCGGCUCUAGAGGGGGAGACGCGGGGCCUAUUUCCACCACCCAAAUUUGCUACCCAGCUCAGGGAAAAUUGUCCGCAGCUUCAAAGAACAGCGCAAAAAUGUAGCUUCAAAAGUUUCAAAAGCGCCCCUGCUGCCCCUCCUUCCUUCUUGGAAGUGGCUGACACCGUAUGACUCCGAAGGCGUACCGGGAACUGUCACAAGGGGACCACGUGCCCAGGGCAAAGAAAAACGAGGACCUUAUGUCGACGGUUAGGAAGUUGGCAGCAAAGGGGCGAAAAGCGAAAUGGAGAAUUAGAUUUCAGCUCGUCAGACGCGUGUGCAUGCGGUUAAUGCCCCGUGGUGAGAGACGUCUUCGACCGGAGCAGAACCGUUCAUCGUGUGGCGUUUUUAUGCAGUUGCUCGCAUGGCAAGCGUCACACACUAGGCAAGGACACACUUCAUGACACUUUAAUCGAAAGAAAUUGCAGCAGUUUCAGUACCACAGGACCCAGCAUUCUUUAUUACGCAACAAUAAAGCUCUAUUAGAGCUCGGAGACGUUAACAAUAACGACGCUUGUUUGCUGCAGGACCGAACAGCUUCCGAACCUUUGAAAGGCUAUUAAUUAUCGGACGUUGUAUAAAGCCCGGUCGGGGCAACCCCUUUUGCUCCGACGUCAGAAGACCCCCCUUCUUCAUCUUCUUUUCCCGGGGAAUUCCUUUCCCUUCCUGUGCUGCUCAAUAAUAGCGGGUUAUUUGCAUAAGCAAAUUACGUCAGCCGCUCGUGGCUGGUGGAAAACAAGGGAAGCAAUUAUGAUACAAUAAAUGGAGAUGGGCUGUGGGGCCCAUGUAAUGAUGCUGCGCCGUACCAGCGCAGUCCACCGUUA